rnacentral:rRNA from 1 species
UACGUAGGGGGCAAGCGUUGUCCGGAAUUAUUGGGCGUAAAGAGCGUGCAGGCGGUCCGGUAAGUCAGCUGUGAAAGUCAAGGGCUCAACCCUUGAAAGCCGGUUGAUACUGUCGGGCUAGAGUCCGGAAGAGGCGAGUGGAAUUCCCGGUGUAGCGGUGAAAUGCGCAGAUAUCGGGAGGAACACCAAUGGCGAAGGCAGCUCGCUGGGACGGUACUGACGCUGAGACGCGAAAGCGUGGGGAGCAAACAGG